rnacentral:lncRNA from 7 species
CUCGAAGAGAAACGCGUGAUUUUCGGGUUAAAAGGGGAUUUCGAAGAGAAACGUGUGAUUUUCGGGAUAAAUGGGGGAUUCUCGAACAGAAAACGCGUGAUUUUCGGGAUAAGUGGGGGAUUCUUGGACAGAAAACGCGUGAUUUUUCACUUAAAUGGGGGAUUCUCGAAGAGAAAACGCGUGAUUUUCGGGAUAAGUGGGGGAUUCUCAAAGAAAAAACGGGCGAUUUUUUCUUAAAUGGCAAAUUUCAAAAUAUAAACCGCGUGAUUUUCACUUAAAUGGGGGAUUCUCGAAGAGACAACGCGUGAUUUUCGGGUUAAAUGGAGGAUUCUUGAAAAGAAAGCACUUGAUUUUCGCUUAAAUGUGAGCUUCUCAAAAAGAAAUCGCGUGAUUUUCGGGUUAAAUGGGGGAUUUCCGAAGAGAAACCGUGUGAUUUUAGGGAUAAAUGGGGGUUUCUCAAAGAGAAAAUGUGUGAUAUUUGUGUUAAAUGGGGUAUUCUCGAAGAGAAAACGCGUUAUUUUCGAGUUAAAUGGGGGAUUUUCGAAGAGAAACCACCUGAUUUUCGCUUAAAUGAAGGAUUUGCGAAGAGGAAGCGCGUGAUUUUUGCUUAAAUGGCGGAUUUCCAAAGAGAAAACGCGUGAGUUCAAGAAAAGGGUGAUUCUCAAAGAGAAAUCGCAUGAUUUUCGCUAAAAUGGGGGAUUUCCAAAGAGAAAACACGUGAUUUUUGGGAUAAAAGGGGGAAUUCCAAAGAGAAUGGGCGUGAUUUUUGGGAUAAAUGGGGGAUUGUCGAAGAGAA